rnacentral:rRNA from 1 species
UACGAGGGGUGCUAGCGUUGCUCGGAAUUAUUGGGCGUAAAGGGUAGGUAGGUGGUCUCAUUUGUCUCAUGUGAAAGCCUUGAGCUUAACUCAAGAAGUGCGUGAGAAACGGUGAGACUAGAGUACUGGAGAGGCUAGUGGAAUUCCCGGUGUAGCGGUGAAAUGCGUAGAGAUUGGGAGGAACACCAGAGGCGAAGGCGGCUAGCUGGACAGUAACUGACACUCAACUACGAAAGCGUGGGGAGCAAACAGG